CUUUAGGCUUCACUAGAAGCCACCAAAACUAUUUUUCCCGCCAAGU
rfam:Eimeria tenella histone 4 (H4) gene, complete cds.